CGAGCACGCGCGUGUGGCAUAUCAAUAAGCGGAGGAAAAGAAACUAACAAGGAUUCCCUUAGUAACGGCGAGUGAAGCGGGAAGAGCUCAAAUUUGAAAUCUUCAGGGUUCUACCUUGACGAAUUGUAGUUUAUAGAAGUGUUUUCUGUUAGUGGAGUGGCAAAAGUUCUUUGGAAUAGGACAUCAUAGAGGGUGAGAAUCCCGUAUUUGGUCAUUCCUCCUAGCGUUGUGAUACACUUUCAACGAGUCGGAUUGUUUGGGAGUGCAGUCCAAAAUGGGUGGUAAAUUUCAUCUAAAGCUAAAUAUUGGCGAGAGACCGAUAGCGAACAAGUACCGUGAGGGAAAGAUGAAAAGAACUUUGAAAAGAGAGUUAAACAGUACGUGAAAUUGUCAAAAGGGAAGCGUUUGACACCAGUGUUGUUUUUCCGAAAAUCAAUUGACGAAUGUUUUAUUUUUGAGGAGUUAUGACUUCAUCGGCUUGCUCUCUUCUUUACGUAAACUUUCUUAAUGCACUUUUCGGUUAACAAGUCAACAUCAAUUUCUUUUGUUGUAAAAGGGUAUGAGGAAGGUGGCUUUCUUUUCGGAGAAAGUGUUUAUAGCCUUGUGCCUCUGCAAUCGGAGAGAUUGAGGUCUGCAGCGUAGAUCCUUCGGGGUUAGAUACAUUUGUGCUAAGUUAUAGCUUUUCAUAGACAACUUGUUGACUAUGUUUAGUCUUGUAGCUUACUCGCUUACGCUAUUUUACCUACGCUUAGGAUGUUGAUGUGAUACUGCGAGCA
rnacentral:rRNA from 1 species